rnacentral:rRNA from 1 species
GUGCAGCAGGCGCGAAACUUCACACUGUGCGAAGCACGAUGAGGGAAUCCCAAGUGCUUGGCACGUAAGUGUAAGCUGUUUCUCUGUCUAAAACGCAGAGAGAGUAAGGGCUGGGUAAGACGGGUGCCAGCCGCCGCGGUAACACCUGCAGCUCAAGUGGUGACCGUUAUUAUUGGGCCUAAAACGUCCGUAGCCGGUUUAAUAAAUGCCUGGGUAAAUUGUGUAGCUUAACUAUACGAAUUCCGGGUAGACUGUUAAACUUGAGACCGGGAGAAGUUAGAGGUACUCCUGGGGUAGAGGUGAAAUUCUGUAAUCCUAGGGGGACCACCAGUGGCGAAGGCGUCUAACUAGAACGGGUCUGACGGUGAGGGACGAAGCCCUGGGGCGC